rnacentral:rRNA from 1 species
AGAGUUUGAUCCUGGCUCAGAAUCAACGCUGGCGGCGUGCCUAACACAUGCAAGUCGAACGCGAAAGCCCCGCAAGGGGUAAGUAGAGUGGCAAACGGGUGAGUAACACGUGGGUGACCUGCCUCAGAGUGGGGGAUAACGACCCGAAAGGGUCGCUAAUACCGCAUAACAUCCUGCUUUUGGAUAAGUGGAGAUCAAAGCCGGGGAUCGCAAGACCUGGCGCUCAGAGAGGGGCCCGCGGCCGAUUAGCUAGUUGGUGAGGUAACGGCUCACCAAGGCGACGAUCGGUAUCCGGCCUGAGAGGGCGGACGGACACACUGGGACUGAGACACGGCCCAGACUCCUACGGGAGGCAGCAGUGGGGAAUUGUUCGCAAUGGGCGCAAGCCUGACGACGCAACGCCGCGUGGAGGACGAAGAUCUUCGGGUCGUAAACUCCUUUCGAUCGGGAAGAACGCCUUCCGGGUGAACAAUCCGGGAGGGUGACGGUACCGAGAGAAGAAGCCCCGGCUAACUCUGUGCCAGCAGCCGCGGUAAUAC